CGAAAGCCUGACGGAGCAACGCCGCGUGUGGGAAGAAGGCCUUUGGGCUGUCAACCACUUUUCUCAGGGAAGAAGUUCUGACGGUACCUGAGGAAUCAGCCUCGGCUAACUCCGUGCCAGCAGCCGCGGUAAUACGGAGGAGGCAAGCGUUAUCCGGAAUGAUUGGGCGUAAAGCGUCCGCAGGUGGCGAUUCAAGUCUGCUGUCAAAGCACGGGGCUUAACUCCGUUAAGGCAGUGGAAACUGAAUAGCUAGAGUGCCGUAGGGGUAGAGGGAAUUCCCGGUGUAGCGGUGAAAUGCGUAGAGAUCGGGAAGAACAUCGGUGGCGAAAGCGCUUUGCUGGACCGAACCUGACGCUGAGGGACGAAAGCUAGGGGAGCG
rnacentral:rRNA from 1 species